rnacentral:rRNA from 1 species
GACGAACGCUGGCGGCGUGCUUAACACAUGCAAGUCGAACGGAAAGGCCUCUUUCGGGGGGUACUCGAGUGGCGAACGGGUGAGUAACACGUGAGUAACCUGCCCUUGACUUUGGGAUAACUUCAGGAAACUGGGGCUAAUACCGGAUAGGAGCUCCUGCUGCAUGGUGGGGGUUGGAAAGUUUCGGCGGUUGGGGAUGGACUCGCGGCUUAUCAGCUUGUUGGUGGGGUAGUGGCUUACCAAGGCUUUGACGGGUAGCCGGCCUGAGAGGGUGACCGGCCACAUUGGGACUGGGAUACGGCCCAGGCCCCUACGGGGGGCAGCAGUGGGGAAUAUUGCACAAUGGGUUGAAGCCUGAUGCAGCAACGCCGUGUGCGGGAUGACGGCCUUCGGGUUGUAAACCGCUUUCGCUCAUGACGAAGCUUUGUGUGACGGUAGUGGGUAAAGAAGCACCGGCUAACUACGUG